AACGCACAUUGCGCCCAUCGGUAUUCCUUUGGGCAUGUCUGUUUGAGCGUCAUUACAACACCUCAGCGCAAGCUGGUUUUGAGCUGUAAGGGUUCGCUUCGGCUGCCCUUCCGCUUUAAAGUUGUAAGCUCUGCUGGCUUCCAGCCUGACCGGAAACAUAGUAAAUUUCUUGCCUUGUUUAUGGAUAGGUUGCGAGGUUCGGCCUGAACAACACCUUCAAUUUUUCUAGGUUUGACCUCAGAUCAGACAAGGAUACCCGCUGAACUUAA
rnacentral:misc_RNA from 1 species